rnacentral:lncRNA from 1 species
UGGUAGUGAGAGAUUUAAAAUUUGUUCAAGUUGUGGCAGUCUAUGUUUUUUACACUAACACUAGUCAUCGGCCAACUGAAAUAGCAGGCCUGUGUAUGGAAGCUUCUCAAAAGAGUUUUUCAAGAUCUCUCGUGAUGUAUUCUGGAACACAUCCAAACGGAGCCUAGUCUAGAAUCCUUUUUUCGCAAUAAAAUAAAAUAAAAUAAAAUAAAAUAUAAUCCUUUUAGUUUUCCUGUUCAACACUCUUUGAAAUGCUCUAUCUUCGAAGUAUGCCGUAAUUAGACUAUAAUCUGUGAAGUACCACAUAAUACAUUUCAAUCCGUUGAAAAUGCACCUUUGUGCAGGCAAAAAGCUUGCUGGUGUUGCUGGUGUUGUAGUAUCCUGCUGCCUGCACUUACGAUCCAUCUUCCAGUAUAACAAGAGAAUAGGAACAGCAAGAAACAGUUUCCUUUGGAAAAGAAACAGCAUAUUGUUCUUAAACCCAAAUGGCAAACAGAAGGUACACAGAAUAUUACAAAACGACUCGCUUAACUCAUCUUUACAAGGGUGUUCCAAUUAUACUGUAAAAGACAAACAAUCUCUGCAGCUACCAAAUGUCCCAACCAAAUCCUAAUAGUAUCC